rnacentral:rRNA from 1 species
AGAGUUUGAUCCUGGCUCAGAUUGAACGCUGGCGGCAGGCUUAACACAUGCAAGUCGAGCGGGGAAGAGUAGCUUGCUACUUUACCUAGCGGCGGACGGGUGAGUAAUGCUUAGGAAUCUGCCUAUUAGUGGGGGACAACAUCUCGAAAGGGAUGCUAAUACCGCAUACGUCCUACGGGAGAAAGCAGGGGACCUUCGGGCCUUGCGCUAAUAGAUGAGCCUAAGUCGGAUUAGCUAGUUGGUGGGGUAAAGGCCUACCAAGGCGACGAUCUGUAGCGGGUCUGAGAGGAUGAUCCGCCACACUGGGACUGAGACACGGCCCAGACUCCUACGGGAGGCAGCAGUGGGGAAUAUUGGACAAUGGGGGGAACCCUGAUCCAGCCAUGCCGCGUGUGUGAAGAAGGCCUUUUGGUUGUAAAGCACUUUAAGCGAGGAGGAGGCUACCGAGAUUAAUACUCUUGGAUAGUGGACGUUACUCGCAGAAUAAGCACCGGCUAACUCUGUGCCAGCAGCCGCGGUAAUACAGAGGGUGCAAGCGUUAAUCGGAUUUACUGGGCGUAAAGCGCGCGUAGGUGGCCAAUUAAGUCAAAUGUGAAAUCCCCGAGCUUAACUUGGGAAUUGCAUUCGAUACUGGUUGGCUAGAGUAUGGGAGAGGAUGGUAGAAUUCCAGGUGUAGCGGUGAAAUGCGUAGAGAUCUGGAGGAAUACCGAUGGCGAAGGCAGGUCUCUGGGCAUUUACUGACGCUGAGGAGCGAAAGCAUGGGGAGCGAACAGGAUUAGAUACCCUGGUAGUCCAUGCCGUAAACGUUGGGCACUAGGUGUGGGGGACGUUCCACGUUUUCCGCGCCGUAGCUAACGCAUUAAGUGCCCCGCCUGGGGAGUACGGCCGCAAGGCUAAAACUCAAAGGAAUUGACGGGGGCCCGCACAAGCGGCGGAGCAUGCGGAUUAAUUCGAUGCAACGCGAAGAACCUUACCAAGGCUUGACAUGUUCCAGACCGCCUCAGAGAUGGGGUUUCCCUUCGGGGCUGGUUCACAGGUGGUGCAUGGUUGUCGUCAGCUCGUGUCGUGAGAUGUUGGGUUAAGUCCCGCAACGAGCGCAACCCUCGUUCCAUGUUGCCAGCGGGUUAUGCCGGGGACUCAUGGGAGACUGCCGGGGUCAACUCGGAGGAAGGUGGGGAUGACGUCAAAUCAUCAUGCCCCUUAUGUCUUGGGCUUCACGCAUGCUACAAUGGCCGGUACAAUGGGUUGCGAUACUGUGAGGUGGAGCUAAUCCCUAAAAGCCGGUCUCAGUUCGGAUUGGGGUCUGCAACUCGACCCCAUGAAGUCGGAGUCGCUAGUAAUCGCAGAUCAGCAACGCUGCGGUGAAUACGUUCCCGGGCCUUGCACACACCGCCCGUCA